GCCUUCGUGGUGUAGUGGUCAGCACGCUCGACGCGUAACCGAGAGCUCGGUGGUUCGAUUCCCGGCGAAAGCG
rfam:Stegodyphus mimosarum contig106047, whole genome shotgun sequence.